CGUUAGCGGCGGACGGGUGAGUAACACGUGGGUAACCUACCUAUAAGACUGGGAUAACUUCGUGAAACCGGAGCUAAUACCGGAUAAUAUUUCGAACCGCAUGGUUCGAUAGUGAAAGAUGGUUUUGCUAUCACUUAUAGAUGGACCCGCGCCGUAUUAGCUAGUUGGUAAGGUAACGGCUUACCAAGGCGACGAUACGUAGCCGACCUGAGAGGGUGAUCGGCCACACUGGAACUGAGACACGGUCCAG
rnacentral:rRNA from 1 species